GACAGAGGGUGCAAACGUUGUUCGGAAUUACUGGGCGUAAAGCGCGUGUAGGCAGUUUAGCAAGUCGGGUGUGAAAGCCCUGGGCUCAACCUAGGAAGUGCACUCGAAACUGCGAGACUUGAGUCCUGGAGAGGAAGGCGGAAUUCUCGGUGUAGAGGUGAAAUUCGUAGAUAUCGAGAGGAACACCGGUGGCGAAGGCAGCCUUCUGGACAGUGACUGACGCUGAGACGCGAAAGCGUGGGGAGCAAACAGG
rnacentral:rRNA from 1 species